GGAUCGGUAGCUCAGCGGUAGAGCGUGGGAUUGCAGUUCCUCAAAACAGUUAUCCUAAGGUCACGCGUUCGACCCGCGUUCGGUCCU
rnacentral:tRNA from 1 species